ACUUUUAACGGUGGAUCUCUUGGCUCACGCAUCGAUGAAGAACGCAGCCAGCUGCGAUAAGUAGUGUGAAUUGCAGAAUUCAGUGAAUCAUCGAAUCUUUGAACGCAAAUGGCGCUCUUGGGUUCUCCCAGGAGCAUGUCUGCCUGAGUGUCGGAUAU
rnacentral:rRNA from 2 species